UACGAAGGGGGCUAGCGUUGCUCGGAAUCACUGGGCGUAAAGGGUGCGUAGGCGGGUCUUUAAGUCAGCGGUGAAAUCCUGGAGCUCAACUCCAGAACUGCCUUUGAUACUGAGGAUCUUGAGUUCGGGAGAGGUGAGUGGAACUGCGAGUGUAGAGGUGAAAUUCGUAGAUAUUCGCAAGAACACCAGUGGCGAAGGCGGCUCACUGGCCCGAUACUGACGCUGAGGCACGAAAGCGUGGGGAGCAAACAGG
rnacentral:rRNA from 1 species